rnacentral:tRNA from 1 species
GGCCCCGUAGCUCAACUGGAUAGAGCAGGUGACUUCUAAUCACCAGGUUCCGGGUUCAAGUCCUGGCGGGGUCGCCA